rnacentral:rRNA from 1 species
AGAGUUUGAUCAUGGCUCAGAACGAACGCUGCGGCGUGGAUAAGACAUGCAAGUCGAACGAGAUUUUUUCCUGUAGCAAUACAGGGAAAAGUCUAGUGGCGAACGGGUGCGUAACACGUGGGCAAUCUGCCUUAAAGUGGGGGAUAGCUCGGCGAAAGCCGAAUUAAUACCGCAUGUGAUCAGGGGAGACAUCUUCCCGAAAUCAAAAGUGGCGCAAGCUACUGCUUUUUGAGGAGCCCGCGGCCUAUCAGCUAGUUGGCGAGGUAACGGCUCACCAAGGCUUUGACGGGUAGCUGGUCUGAGAGGACGACCAGUCACACUGGAACUGAGACACGGUCCAGACACCUACGGGUGGCAGCAGUCGAGAAUUUUUCUCAAUGGGGGAAACCCUGAAGGAGCGACGCCGCGUGGAGGAUGAAGGUCUUCGGGUUGUAAACUCCUGUCAUUUGGGAACAAGUGUCGGUACCUAACUGCUACCGGCUUGAUAGUACCAGAAGAGGAAGGGACGGCUAACUCUGUGCCAGCAGCCGCGGUAAUACAGAGGUCUCAAGCGUUGUUCGGAUUCAUUGGGCGUAAAGGGUGUGUAGGUGGCGCCGUAAGUCGGGUGUGAAAUUUCGGAGCUUAACUCCGAAACUGCAUUCGAUACUGCGGUGCUUGAGGACUGGAGAGGAGACUGGAAUUCAUGGUGUAGCAGUGAAAUGCGUAGAGAUCAUGAGGAAGACCAGUGGCGAAGGCGGGUCUCUGGACAGUUCCUGACACUGAGACACGAAGGCCAGGGGAGCAAACGGGAUUAGAUACCCNNGUAGUCC